rnacentral:rRNA from 1 species
UAGUAAUGGCAGGUCAGCAUACUGCCGUGAAUACGUUCCCGGGGCCUUGUACACACCGCCCGUCACACCAUGAGAGUUGGAAAUACCCGAAGCCUGUGAGCUAACCUUAUAGGAGGCAGCAGUCGAAGGUAGAGUCAAUGAUUGGGGUGAAGUCGUAACAAGGUACC